CGACUUCAUGUGUAGCCCUGCCAUGUUUAUCUACGCCUGGCAUGCCGAGUACAGCCGGGAGCGUAGUAACUAGAGCGGUGCCAAGCCUCGCUGGCCUCUGGUUCCGUAGUACAGCGCUGUAAGAGGAGCAUGCAGAGCUUGUCGCGGCUGAGGUAUUGCUAGCGAGAGCGUUUGUUGAUGUACGAGCAUCUCACAGUGAGGUUUUGGCUGUGGAUUUACCCUAGAUGUGUUAUCAGUCUUUCUGAAGCUAUAAACCCUGUCAUUGCCCUUCAUUGUUUUCUGCUGUUCUGAAAAUCUCAUUUUUAGCACGUACCCCCCUGCAAGGAUCUCGUAACGUUAAGCCAUCAGGUGGAGUGGGAAGUUUGCUGUCCUCUGAAGAAUGCCAAGGGGUUGGGAAACAGAAGAGUGAGACAAAUCUGAGCAGUGAGAAGACUGCACCCACCCCACUAACUGCAAGGAGACUCACAUCUCUUGGAUCAACACCAGGUAAUGGGAUUGUGAAGACUAAAAAAGAUGUUCUGCUUCUGAAAGAGAAAAAGAAACAGAAGGCACUGGAGAAGGAGAUUCGUGCAUUAGUGAGAGAACGUGGAGAGCAGGAUAAAAAACUUCGUGCUC
rnacentral:lncRNA from 1 species